CGGAGAGCUCUCUUGGCUGAAGAGGAUCCCUGAACCAGGAAGGAUACUGGCUGAAGCCUGGGCAUGCUUUGCCAAAUCCUGGGGGCCUCCUCACUCUGUUUCUCAGAGCCUCCCUCCUCUUUGUGCCUGGUAGCUGCUCCUCCACCUCCAAUGUUACUCACCCUGCCUGCUUUCUAUCACACUCCCCCUUAACAACUGCUGAAAUUUAUGGCUUGCCUGUGCUACUUUUACCUUAAUCACUAAUGAAAUUGUCCACAAGCUUC